GACGAACGCUGGCGGCGUGCUUAACACAUGCAAGUCGAACGGAAAGUUCCUGCUUUUGUGGGGUCCUGGAGUGGAGACCGGGUGAGUAACACGUGAGUAACCUGCACUUGCCUUUGGGAUAUCUUCAGGCCACUGGGUCUAAUACCGGCUAAGAGCUCCUGCUGCUUGGUGGGGGUUCGAAAGUUUCGGCGGUUGGGAAUGGACACGCGGCCUAUCAGCUUGUUGGAGGGGUAGUGGCUUACCAAGGCCUUGCCGCGUAGCCGGCCUGCGCGGGUGACCGGCAACAUUGGGCCGGGGAUACGACACAGACUCCUACGGUAGGCAGCAGUGGAGAAUAGUGCACUAUGGGCGGAAGCCUGAUGCAGCAACGCCGCGUGGGGUAUGACGGCCAGCGGGUUGGAAAGCGCAGUCGCCUGUGACGAGGCGUGAGUGACGGUAAUGGGUAAAGAAGCACCGGCUAACUACGUG
rnacentral:rRNA from 1 species